rnacentral:rRNA from 1 species
AUUGAACGCUGGCGGCAGGCCUAACACAUGCAAGUCGAGCGAGCGGCGGACGGGUGUGUAAUGUCUGGGAAACUGCCUGAUGGAGGGGGAUAACUACUGGAAACGGUAGCUAAUACCGCAUACCAUCAGAUGUGCCCAGAUGGGAUUAGCUAGUAGGUGGGGUAACGGCUCCCCUAGGCGACGAUCCCUAGCUGGUCUGAGAGGAUGACCAGCCACACUGAAACUGAGACACGGUCCAGACUCCUACGGGAGGCAGCGGGGGGGAAGAUUUAACAAUGGGCGAAAUCCUGAUGCAGCCAUGCCGCGUGUAUGAGGAAGGCCUUCGGGUUGUAAAGCACUUUCGGCAGGGAAGCGUUACCCGCAGAAGAAGCACCGGCUAACUCCGUGCCAGCAGCCGCGGUAAUUC